rnacentral:rRNA from 1 species
AGAGUUUGAUCCUGGCUCAGGAUGAACGCUGGCGGCGUGCCUAAUACAUGCAAGUCGAACGGUGUAUAUGAGCAAUCGUAUACAUAGUGGCGAACGGGUGAGUAACGCGUUGGUGACCUGCCCUAAAGCGGGGGACAACAGCUCGAAAGGGCUGCUAAUACCCCAUACAGUUGUGAGAGAUUAGAAACUUGCAACGAAAGGAGUAAUCCACUUUAGGAGGGGCCUGCGUCCCAUCAGCUAGUUGGUAGGGUAACGGCCUACCAAGGCGUAGACGGGUAGGGGACCUGAGAGGGUGGCCCCCCACAAUGGAACUGAAACACGGUCCAUACACCUACGGGUGGCAGCAGUAGGGAAUAUUGCACCAUGGGCGAAAGCCUGAUGCAGCAACGCCGCGUGAGUGAUGAAGGCCUUCGGGUCGUAAAACUCUUUUCAAGGGAAAGAGGAAGGACGGUACCCUUGGAAUAAGCAUCGGCUAACUACGUGCCAGCAGCCGCGGUAACACGUAGGAUGCAAGCGUUAUUCGGAUUUACUGGGCGUAAAGCGCGUGUAGGCGGUUAGGAGAGUUGGAUGUGAAAGCUCCCGGCUUAACUGGGAGAGGUCGUUCAAAACUUCCUGACUAGAGUUUGGUAGAGGAAAAUGGAAUUCCGGGUGUAGUGGUGAAAUGCGUAGAUAUCCGGAGGAACACCAGUGGCGAAAGCGAUUUUCUGGACCGAUACUGACGCUCAGACGCGAAAGCUAGGGUAGCAAACGGGAUUAGAGACCCCGGUAGUCCUAGCUGUAAACGAUGUAGACUUGGCGUUGGGAGAGUAAAAUCAUCCAGUGCCGAAGCAAACGCGAUAAGUCUACCGCCUGGGGAGUACGGCCGCAAGGUUAAAACUCAAAGGAAUUG